rnacentral:misc_RNA from 1 species
GCCCUUUCUACUUGUUAUCUUAUAAACCUUUUUCUCUUUUGAAAAAAUUACCUGAUCUGUUUUUGUUUAGAUUACUUCAGCCAAUAUUUCUUCUAGAUUUAGUUGAAUUAUUUAUUCUCUAUCAAAAGGGAACUAUGACAGUAUAAUCUGCAGUGAUUUUCAUGUUUAAACUUUUCUCUUUUUCCAUUAAUUAACAGCUUCAGCUUCCAACUAACUCAUGUUCUU